rnacentral:rRNA from 1 species
CAUAGCCGCGGGAAUACGUAGGUGGCAAGCGUUGUCCGGAUUUAUUGGGCGUAAAGCGAGCGCAGGCGGUUUCUUAAGUCUGAUGUGAAAGCCCCCGGCUCAACCGGGGAGGGUCAUUGGAAACUGGGAAACUUGAGUGCAGAAGAGGAGAGUGGAAUUCCAUGUGUAGCGGUGAAAUGCGUAGAUAUAUGGAGGAACACCAGUGGCGAAGGCGGCUCUCUGGUCUGUAACUGACGCUGAGGCUCGAAAGCGUGGGGAGCAAACAGGAUUAGAUACCCCAGUAGUCCCUGUCUCUUAUACA